CCUACGUGAGGCAGCAGUGAGGAAUAUUGGUCAAUGGGCGCGAGCCUGAACCAGCCAAGUAGCGUGAAGGAUGACUGCCCUACGGGUUGUAAACUUCUUUUAUAAAGGAAUAAAGUGAGGCACGUGUGCCUUUUUGUAUGUACGUUAUGAAUAAGGAUCGGCUAACUCCGUGCCAGCAGCCGCGGUAAUACGGAGGAUCCGAGCGUGAUCCGGAUUUAUUGGGUUUAAAGGGAGCGUAGAUGGGUUGUUAAGUCAGUUGUGAAAGUUUGCGGCUCAACCGUAGAAUGUCAAUUGACACUGGCAGUCUUGAGUACAGUUGAGGUAGGCGGAAUUCGUGGUGUAGCGGUGAAAUGCUGAGAUAUCACGAAGAACUCCGAUUGCUAAGGCAGCUUACUAAACUGCCACUGACAUUGAGGCUCGAAAGUGUGGGUAUCAAACAGGAUUAGAUACCCGAGUAGUC
rnacentral:rRNA from 1 species